rnacentral:rRNA from 1 species
GACGAACGCUGGCGGCGUGCCUAAUACAUGCAAGUAGAACGCACAGUUUAUACCGUAGCUUGCUACACCAUAGACUGUGAGUUGCGAACGGGUGAGUAACGCGUAGGUAACCUGCCUGGUAGCGGGGGAUAACUAUUGGAAACGAUAGCUAAUACCGCAUAAUAUUAAUUAUUGCAUGAUAAUUAAUUGAAAGGUGCAAUUGCACCACUACCAGAUGGACCUGCGUUGUAUUAGCUAGUAGGUGAGGUAACGGCUCACCUAGGCGACGAUACAUAGCCGACCUGAGAGGGUGAUCGGCCACACUGGGACUGAGACACGGCCCAGACUACUACGGGAGGCAGCAGUAGGGAAUCUUCGGCAAUGGACGAAAGUCUGACCGAGCAACGCCGCGUGAGUGAAGAAGGUUUUCGGAUCGUAAAGCUCUGUUGUAAGAGAAGAACGGGUGUGAGAGUGGAAAGUUCACACUGUGACGGUAUCUUACCAGAAAGGGACGGCUAACUACGUG